AACGCAAAUAGCACUGCUAGGUCCUCCUAGUAGUAUGUCUGUUUGAGUGUCAGCAAUAAAUAAUCAACACAUUAAAUGAAAAACUUGUUUUUUUUUUUUUAAUGGCGUUGCACUUGGUGAAAUGUCUUGGGGACAAUUUUUCAAUUGUCUUUGGGACAAUUCGCUCAAAUUUCAAACCUCUUAUCAUUAACCUGCGUAAUGAUUAACUUGGUAACAACUCUCUUGUUACUGCAAAUGAAAUUAAAAGUCACUUUUUAGUUGACAUUUGUACGUGGCAUUAUGAGACUACCACUGUUCUUUAUUAUCUUGGGUCUAUGAAACCCAAAAAAAAGAGGAAUUUUCUUCCUUUUUUUUUUCAAAAAUCUAUAUACUUGACCUCAAAUCAGACAGGGUUACCCGCUGAAUUUAA
rnacentral:misc_RNA from 1 species